UACGUAGGGUGCGAGCGUUGUCCGGAAUUAUUGGGCGUAAAGAGCUUGUAGGCGGUUUGUCGCGUCUGCCGUGAAAUUUCGGGGCUCAACCCCGAACUUGCGGUGGGUACGGGCAGACUAGAGUGUGGUAGGGGAGACUGGAAUUCCUGGUGUAGCGGUGAAAUUCGUAGAUAUCGGGAGGAACACCGGUGGCGAAGGCGGCGACCUGGGACAAUACUGACGCUGAGGUGCGAAAGCGUGGGGAGCAAACAGG
rnacentral:rRNA from 1 species